rnacentral:sRNA from 1 species
ACAACAUUGUUGUAGCGUCAUCAAAGCUUGGAAAUGGUUGGCGAUGCUUAAUCAUGUUGAUGUUGUUAUCAAAUUUGGAAUUUAAGUCAUUUAAAACGUACAUAAUCAGAGUUCGAUCUGAAACAAGGGUAUCGAUAUUAUCACACAAGUGUUUAGUGAGGCGAUUGCUGGCAAUGAAGAUAUCCAGCUACCACAUCUAAAGGAAAUGACUUUGAGCGUCAUGACAAAUAAAGACAAAAACAAUCACCUCUUUUACGACAUAACAUGGGCUAUUCCUCAACGUAGGGUAUUAAUACUCUUUAAAUUCAACUACAAUGUUUAUAAUCCGUAUCUUUAGGCAUAGUUCUAUUUAUGAGAUCGUGUAGGGCGGCUUCAUCUACAUUCAUAAAAUUAUCAUCGAACUCCUCCAGCGCCUAAAAGGUGUCGAUUUUAUGAAUAUCACCCACCCACCAAAUGCUUCAUAUUAUACAUUUUUUAUAAUUAAUCAUGCUUACUAAUCAGAGUUUACAAAACUUGAUUUAUAAUAUGAGAUUAUUCAUUCUUUAUAGAAGAACAUAAUAAUAAGAAAAAAACAUUAGAAAUUAGAAUAUUAUGUAAAUAUAUGAUAAAACUAAAUAUUUCUUAGUUUUUGCUCAACUAGUCCUUUAACUAAAUGAUGUAACCAAAAAAAAUUCAUAAGUUUUUCCUCAAAUAUUUUUCAAACUUUAUGUCACCAUAGUUAUUAUGGCACUAGCUACUAUUAAAUCUAAUUCUCAUUUUUAAGCUUUUUAUAACCCUUCUAAACAAACGGAAACAUUUCUAUAAUGGAUUAGAAAGAAAAAAAAAAAGAACAGAUGGGGCAAAAAUUAUACUCGGAUCUAGUUCGGCUAUAGAAAGGAUAUGGAUACCCGGAUUAACCUUAUUGAUUUUCACAUGUGCCUCUCGUGCUUUCUAUCCUUUUGCAAAUGUAGACCAAAGUAUUUUGAUAUUAUAUGCCACCACGAGGUUGAACGCCAGGCUAUCAUGACAAGUCUUAAUACAAACUAGGCCAAUACCCGCACGUUUAUAACAAUUUACCUCGAGUGUAUUAAUUUGAUUUAACUAAUUCGAUAAAUAUUUUUUUUUGGUGUUUUUAAUAACCAUUUUGAUAAUAUCUGAUGACAAAAUUAAAAAAAAC